AAUGAUCAAAGACAGAGAAGGAAACCAGGAGGUUGAAAAAGAGCCCCGGUUUGAUAUGUGAUCCUGAUGGAAUGAGAUAAUGAGAAAGGAGAAAAUAUGGUUCAGAAAGGGGAAGUUGAAGCAAAGCUUUUAAAAAAGAGACAGCCUAGGUUAAAUCCAACUUGCGACAUACUUGGUGUCUACACCUGUGCAGUUGAACAUCACAGGAGAAACACACACAGAAUUUCAGAUUUUGCAACAUGAGAGUCUGAAAGACAGGCCAACACAGGCGGCUCUUUGGAAACAAGAGACCUGGUACUUCCAACAGUCAAAAAGCUGGCUAAACACCAGGAAGAGGGAAAAGACACAUCAGGUAGGUUGUGUUGAUUCCACAGACCUCUUUUGAUUCUCUGCUAGAGGACUUCUUUUGACAAAGAAUGGACUUUUUUUG